GUCGCUGUCGAUUAGUGGUUAAAUCGCGUCGUUGUGGUUGUUCACAAGUCUAUCCCGACGAGCCCCAGGUUCAAUUCCUGGCAGCGACA